GCUUUUGGUACUUCAAGUUCAGCAUAAGAUUAGUUUAAGUUGUAAACAGAAUUUAGACAGUUAUGUUUAUAACUCAAAGACAGCCUAUAUAUGAAGUGCCUCUUAGUGGCACUCUAUGGUAGCUUUAAAUAUACAAAGUCAAUAAUAAAUUUAUUUCAUAAUCUUCAAAUACAGGUUUUUUUUUUAUAUAUAUUUGAAGCUUCUUGCCACCAUAGUAGUAGCAAGAAGCUCAUAAGGAUCAUAAACAUCUUAAGACAUUGCCCAAAAAAGACUAUAGGCUCUGCUCCACCUGAUGGUUCUACAGAGGUUCUUCUGUGAGAUGGAACUCUGCUUUAAUAUAACCAAGCACAGUGGGACAGAGUCCUCUCCUUCUGGAUCUACUUCAACAAGAGAGGCCAACUGAUCCAGACAACUGCCAGUGGAAGAUCCAUCUGAAACUCGACCUCCUAUGCAUGGUGUUGCUAUAACAGCCAUUUAUAGCUGAGCACCACCAAACAGUUGAAAACCAGACAACCCACAGCAAAAGUGAAACUCAAUAGAUUCACUUUUGUUUCAAGACCACCUCUAGUGAGAGAUCUAUCUCCCCCUAGAGGAGGAACCAUGUUAAGUUGACCCAAACUGCAAUAAGUUGAUGGUUGAGCCAAUCAACUUGUUGCAGUUUUUGCAAAUAUUGAGUUUAAGUUGUAUUUGCACUACAUUGAUGAUGUUUGUAUAGUAUGGAAAUGUAAAGAAUAACAGGAACAUAGCACCAGUCUAGCCAACUUGCUAAAUGACAGAACAUUGGGGCUUAAUGUAAGGAUAGAGCAAAAUAGUGAUAAGAUGUUCCAUUUCCUAGAUGUCCAAGUGGAAGUAGAGCAAGGGAAAUACAUCACCAAUAUCUAUAGAAAUCCAACAUAUAUACCGAUCCUAAUACUAGCCUGAC
rnacentral:lncRNA from 1 species